rnacentral:rRNA from 1 species
UACGGGGGGGGCAAGCGUUGUUCGGAAUUACUGGGCGUAAAGGGCUCGUAGGCGGCCAACUAAGUCAUACGUGAAAUCCCUCGGCUUAACCGGGGAACUGCGUCUGAUACUGUAUGGCUUGAGUAUGGAAGAGGGUAGUGGAAUUCCAGGUGUAGUGGUGAAAUACGUAGAUAUCUGGAGGAAUACCGGUGGCGAAGGCGGCUACCUGGUCCUAUACUGACGCUGAGAUACGAAAGCAUGGGUAGCAAACAGG